rnacentral:rRNA from 1 species
CGAGGGGCAGCGGGUAGAUGAGCUUGCUCAUUUAUGCCGGCGACCGGUGCACGGGUGAGUAACACGUAUGCAACCUGCCCGUCUCAGGGGGAUAAUCGUCGGAAACGGCGUCUAAUACCCCGUAUGAAGCUGGACGGCAUCGUCUGGUUUUGAAAGAAUAUCGGAGACGGAUGGGCAUGCGGCGCAUUAGCUAGUUGGCGGGGUAACGGCCCACCAAGGCGACGAUGCGUAGGGGUUCUGAGAGGAAGGUCCCCCACACUGGUACUGAGACACGGACCAGACUCCUACGGGAGGCAGCAGUGAGGAAUAUUGGUCAAUGGGCGAGAGCCUGAACCAGCCAAGUCGCGUGAGGGAGUACUGCCCUAUGGGUUGUAAACCUCUUUUGUCGGGGAGCAAAAGCCGGACGUGUCCGUCUGUGAGAGUACCCGAAGAAAAAGCAUCGGCUAACUCCGUGCCAGCAGCCGCGGUAAUACGGAGGAUGCGAGCGUUAUCCGGAUUUAUUGGGUUUAAAGGGUGCGCAGGCGGAUUUUUAAGUCAGCGGUCAAAUCGUGGGGCUCAACCCCAUCCAGCCGUUGAAACUGGGGAUCUAGAGUGUGCGAGAGGUAUGCGGAAUGCGUGGUGUAGCGGUGAAAUGCAUAGAUAUCACGCAGAACCCCGAUUGCGAAGGCAGCAUACCGGUGCACAACUGACGCUCAGGCACGAAAGCGUGGGUAUCGAACAGGAUUAGAUACCCUGGUAGUCCACGCAGUAAACGAUGAAUGCUACCUGUUUGGCCAGA